UCUUCCCAUCUGCUGAACCGUUUUAUAUAUGAGUAUGAUAAGCUAAAUUCUGCUCUUUAAUUGGUCGCAAUUUCUGGUCUUUCUUUUUCUUAUUCGAGUUGCAGAUCAGAGCCUUCUUCCGUCAUCAGCGUCGACCACAUGCUGAUCUUAAACCGUCAACGCUGCACUCAGGUUUGAGGAGGUUAAAUCUGGACAGUGCAUUCCAACACUUAAUCCUAGCCAUUCAUGGCUUUUAAUUUAAAACCACCGUCUUCCUCAUCACACUGGCAGGGAAGCUAAUUACAGAAACAGAGUCUCAAGUGCGGGAAACUUCUGCACAGGCUCACAAGCAAAAGCAACCACGUACUUUCUUUAUUGAUCAAGAUCAAGCAAUGGCUAGGGCAUUAGAGGAUGUAAUGCCUGAGGUUAAACAUGGCUUGUGCAUCUUCCAUUUGCAUAUAAAUGGUGUGAAACAUUUGGCAAACUUAAUAAAAGAUGGCUCACAUUUCUUGACUGAUCUUAACAAGUGCUUGUAUGACUACCAUGAAGAAUUUGAGUUUGAGGAUGCUUGGAGGAAGCUACAGUUGACUUACAAUUUGGAAGAAAACUCUUAGUUGUGCUCCAUAUAUAAGGUAAAAGAAAAAUAGGCAGCUUGUGAUAUGAAAUAUGCUUUUACAAUUGGUAUGCAGAGCACUCAACUAAGUGAGAGCAUUAAUUCAUCUUUAAAGGAUUGCAUGAAGCCUGAACUUGAUAUCAAUACAUUCUUUAAGCUCUUUGAAUUGGUAGUUAAUGGUAAGCGAUAUACUAAGUUACAACAUGACUUUGAAACACGUGAAAAGCUGCCUAGAUUAAUUAUGCGAAGUGCAUUGAUGCUCCAACAAGUUUCUCAAAUCUACACUCCUACUAUACAUGAUGUCUUCCAAUAUGAGUGGGAUUAUAGUUGUGCAUACUAUAUAAAAGAAAGAGAUGAGGCAGGUGAUGUAAAGCAAUAUGUGGUUAGAUUGAUUACUAAACCAGGAGAGUGGAGAGUUUCUUAUGAUACUACUAGUGGUUUAACCAAUUGUAGUUGCAUGAAGUUUCAGCAAUAUGGAAUAAUUUGUUGUCAUGCAUUGAGGAUAUAUACACAUCUAGAAGUUGAUGUACUUCCAAAACAAUAUAUAAUGAGAAGGUGGACAAGGGAAGCAAGAUAUGGAGUUGUUCAGAAUAUUCUGGGUAAUGAGAUUCAAGUUGAUCCUAAGAUGAAAAGUUCAAUGUAUGUCCUAUAUUUGUAAGGAUGUUCAAGUGCCACAAGAUACCUCUAACUUAGCUUCACAAAGGCAGAAAAAGAAAAGAAAAAUCAAAUCUCUUGGCUCAUUGGGUGCAUUAGAACAUGGCAUAAUUUUAUUCAAAAUUUGGCACAUUACAUGUGUUCUAGCACACUAGAACUUUCAAAUCAAUUAUUUACAAGCAGUACAUUUGUAAAACUUUAACAAUGCUGUCUCUUUAACAUAGGUUCUCAAUCUAGCACCAUCAGUCACAUGUGAAGAUAUGUCCCAUGAUCUUAGCCACUACUCCAGCUUUAGUUUCAUUCUAGUUCAAGAAGACAUUUUAAUACAGUCAUUUAGCCAGUAAAAGGUAGCUCUUUUAGUAUUUUUGAUUCAUUUUGGUCCAGUCAUUUUGACAGUAUAAGGCAACUCCUUCAAUAUUUUUGAUUCAUUUUAGGUCUUCAAAUUAUUCAACAACAACAUAACAUUACUAGGAAUUGUAUA